rnacentral:lncRNA from 1 species
AAGCAUUCAAAAAUUUCCUUCACCCUUUUCUCUUUUCCAAAUUGCUACACCAAUCCAUACAACUUUUUAGCACAAUGUUAUUCUGUCUGUUUUUCAAGUGUUUUUCCUUUUUUAUUUUCUUCUCUUUUUCUUUUAUUUUUCAUUUAUUUCUUUCUUUUUCAAUCUUUUUCUUUUUCUCAAUCUCUUAGCAACCAAUAUUUCUUCUCCCAAACUUAAAUACAACCAAUCAUGUAAUGUGAAUGCUCCCAAACUUUAAGGUAAGGGUAGAAAUUCA